ACGAGUUUGAUCCUGGCUCAGGAUGAACGCUAGCGGCAGGCUUAAUACAUGCAAGUCGAACGGGAUUUAGGAGCUUGCUUCUAAUGAGAGUAGCGCACGGGUGAGUAACACGUACACAAUCUACCUUGUACAGGGGGAUAGCCUUGGGAAACUGAGAAUAAUACCCCAUAGUUUUUCGGGAUCGCAUGAUUUUGGAAAUAAAGCUGAGGCGGUACAAGAUGAGUGUGCGGAUGAUUAGGUAGUUGGUAGGGUAACGGCCUACCAAGCCGACGAUCAAUAGCUGGCGUGAGAGCGCGACCAGCCACACUGGAACUGAGACACGGUCCAGACUCCUACGGGAGGCAGCAGUAGGGAAUAUUGGACAAUGGGCGGAAGCCUGAUCCAGCCAUGCCGCGUGGAGGAUUAAGGCCCUCUGGGUUGUAAACUCCUUUUAUCUGGGAAGAACCAUUUCGACUUGUCGAAACAUGACGGUACCAGAGGAAUAAGCACCGGCUAACUCCGUG
rnacentral:rRNA from 1 species